rnacentral:rRNA from 1 species
UUAAGUUAUUAAGGGCGCACGGUGGAUGCCUUGGCACUAGAAGCCGAUGAAGGACGUUACUAACGACGAUAUGCUUUGGGGAGCUGUAAGUAAGCUUUGAUCCAGAGAUUUCCGAAUGGGGAAACCCAGCAUGAGUUAUGUCAUGUUAUCGAUAUGUGAAUACAUAGCAUAUCAGAAGGCACACCCGGAGAACUGAAACAUCUUAGUACCCGGAGGAAGAGAAAGAAAAUUCGAUUCCCUUAGUAGCGGCGAGCGAAACGGGAAGAGCCCAAACCAACAAGCUUGCUUGUUGGGGUUGUAGGACACUCUAUACGGAGUUACAAAGGACGACAUUAGACGAAUCAUCUGGAAAGAUGAAUCAAAGAAGGUAAUAAUCCUGUAGUCGAAAAUGUUGUCUCUCUUGAGUGGAUCCUGAGUACGACGGAGCACGUGAAAUUCCGUCGGAAUCUGGGAGGACCAUCUCCUAAGGCUAAAUACUCUCUAGUGACCGAUAGUGAACCAGUACCGUGAGGGAAAGGUGAAAAGCACCCCGGAAGGGGAGUGAAAUAGAACCUGAAACCGUGUGCUUACAAGUAGUCAGAGCCCGUUAAUGGGUGAUGGCGUGCCUUUUGUAGAAUGAACCGGCGAGUUACGAUUUGAUGCAAGGUUAAGCAGUAAAUGUGGAGCCGUAGCGAAAGCGAGUCUGAAUAGGGCGUUUAGUAUUUGGUCGUAGACCCGAAACCAGGUGAUCUACCCUUGGUCAGGUUGAAGUUCAGGUAACACUGAAUGGAGGACCGAACCGACUUACGUUGAAAAGUGAGCGGAUGAACUGAGGGUAGCGGAGAAAUUCCAAUCGAACCUGGAGAUAGCUGGUUCUCUCCGAAAUAGCUUUAGGGCUAGCCUCAAGUGAUGAUUAUUGGAGGUAGAGCACUGUUUGGACGAGGGGCCCCUCUCGGGUUACCGAAUUCAGACAAACUCCGAAUGCCAAUUAAUUUAACUUGGGAGUCAGAACAUGGGUGAUAAGGUCCGUGUUCGAAAGGGAAACAGCCCAGACCACCAGCUAAGGUCCCAAAAUAUAUGUUAAGUGGAAAAGGAUGUGGCGUUGCCCAGACAACUAGGAUGUUGGCUUAGAAGCAGCCAUCAUUUAAAGAGUGCGUAAUAGCUCACUAGUCGAGUGACACUGCGCCGAAAAUGUACCGGGGCUAAACAUAUUACCGAAGCUGUGGAUUGUCCUUUGGACAAUGGUAGGAGAGCGUUCUAAGGGCGUUGAAGCAUGAUCGUAAGGACAUGUGGAGCGCUUAGAAGUGAGAAUGCCGGUGUGAGUAGCGAAAGACGGGUGAGAAUCCCGUCCACCGAUUGACUAAGGUUUCCAGAGGAAGGCUCGUCCGCUCUGGGUUAGUCGGGUCCUAAGCUGAGGCCGACAGGCGUAGGCGAUGGAUAACAGGUUGAUAUUCCUGUACCACCUAUAAUCGUUUUAAUCGAUGGGGGGACGCAGUAGGAUAGGCGAAGCGUGCGAUUGGAUUGCACGUCUAAGCAGUAAGGCUGAGUAUUAGGCAAAUCCGGUACUCGUUAAGGCUGAGCUGUGAUGGGGAGAAGACAUUGUGUCUUCGAGUCGUUGAUUUCACACUGCCGAGAAAAGCCUCUAGAUAGAAAAUAGGUGCCCGUACCGCAAACCGACACAGGUAGUCAAGAUGAGAAUUCUAAGGUGAGCGAGCGAACUCUCGUUAAGGAACUCGGCAAAAUGACCCCGUAACUUCGGGAGAAGGGGUGCUCUUUAGGGUUAACGCCCAGAAGAGCCGCAGUGAAUAGGCCCAAGCGACUGUUUAUCAAAAACACAGGUCUCUGCUAAACCGUAAGGUGAUGUAUAGGGGCUGACGCCUGCCCGGUGCUGGAAGGUUAAGAGGAGUGGAUAGCUUCUGCGAAGCUACGAAUCGAAGCCCCAGUAAACGGCGGCCGUAACUAUAACGGUCCUAAGGUAGCGAAAUUCCUUGUCGGGUAAGUUCCGACCCGCACGAAAGGCGUAACGAUUUGGGCACUGUCUCAACGAGAGACUCGGUGAAAUCAUAGUACCUGUGAAGAUGCAGGUUACCCGCGACAGGACGGAAAGACCCCGUGGAGCUUUACUGUAGCCUGAUAUUGAAAUUCGGCACAGCUUGUACAGGAUAGGUAGGAGCCUUUGAAACGUGAGCGCUAGCUUACGUGGAGGCGCUGGUGGGAUACUACCCUAGCUGUGUUGGCUUUCUAACCCGCACCACUUAUCGUGGUGGGAGACAGUGUCAGGCGGGCAGUUUGACUGGGGCGGUCGCCUCCUAAAAGGUAACGGAGGCGCUCAAAGGUUCCCUCAGAAUGGUUGGAAAUCAUUCAUAGAGUGUAAAGGCAUAAGGGAGCUUGACUGCGAGACCUACAAGUCGAGCAGGGUCGAAAGACGGACUUAGUGAUCCGGUGGUUCCGCAUGGAAGGGCCAUCGCUCAACGGAUAAAAGCUACCCCGGGGAUAACAGGCUUAUCUCCCCCAAGAGUUCACAUCGACGGGGAGGUUUGGCACCUCGAUGUCGGCUCAUCGCAUCCUGGGGCUGUAGUCGGUCCCAAGGGUUGGGCUGUUCGCCCAUUAAAGCGGUACGCGAGCUGGGUUCAGAACGUCGUGAGACAGUUCGGUCCCUAUCCGUCGUGGGCGUAGGAAAUUUGAGAGGAGCUGUCCUUAGUACGAGAGGACCGGGAUGGACAUACCUCUGGUGUACCAGUUGUCGUGCCAACGGCAUAGCUGGGUAGCUAUGUGUGGACGGGAUAAGUGCUGAAAGCAUCUAAGCAUGAAGCCCCCCUCAAGAUGAGAUUUCCCAACUUCGGUUAUAAGAUCCCUCAAAGAUGAUGAGGUUAAUAGGUUCGAGGUGGAAGCAUGGUGACAUGUGGAGCUGACGAAUACUAAUCGAUCGAAGACUUAAUCAA